UUUCUCUGAUUUCUGACUGGAGCAUUGAAAGAUCUCUAUCGAAGCCAACUCUAAUCAGGACUUGUCUUGCAGGAUUUUCUUCUGAGAGGACAUGCCACUACUUCAGCCUUUUUAAUCGAGUCCCAGAUUUUAGCGGCAACAGUAUUAUUUCUCAUAUAAAAGCUAUCACCCUUGCAUAUGCUUGACAAUUUACUAGUGGUUCGUUUUCUCGC
rnacentral:lncRNA from 1 species